UACGGUAGGGUGCGAGCGUUGUCCGGAAUUACUGGGCGUAAAGAGCUCGUAGGUGGUUUGUCGCGUUGUUCGUGAAAACUCACAGCUCAACUGUGGGCGUGCGGGCGAUACGGGCAGACUAGAGUACUGCAGGGGAGACUGGAAUUCCUGGUGUAGCGGUGGAAUGCGCAGAUAUCAGGAGGAACACCGGUGGCGAAGGCGGGUCUCUGGGCAGUAACUGACGCUGGAGGAGCGAAAGCGUGGGGAGCGAACAGG
rnacentral:rRNA from 1 species